rnacentral:rRNA from 1 species
CGGCCGCGUCGACCGAAAGCAUGGGUAGCAAACAGGAUUAGAUACCCUGGUAGUCCAUGCCGUAAACGAUGAUUACUAGGUGUUGGAGGAUUGACCCCUUCAGUGCCGCAGUUAACACAAUAAGUAAUCCACCUGGGGAGUACGACCGCAAGGUUGAAACUCAAAGGAAUUGACGGGGGCCCGCACAAGCGGUGGAGUAUGUGGUUUAAUUCGAUGCAACGCGAAGAACCUUACCAGCACGUUAUGGUGGGC